GGUACACAGACACUGAUCGCUGAGCUGAGGCAGAGCAUACACACUCAUGCAGAGGACUGUGUGCCACAUGCCUCCUUACAGCCUGUUCUGUGUGCUGGUGCUGUUGGCUUUCUCUGGAUCUAAUAUGGCCCAGAGAGUGACUCAGGUCCAGUCAACGGCAAGCAGGCAGGAAGGAGAAGAACUCACCCUGGACUGUUCUUAUGAGACGAGUCAGAUUUUAUACCAUCUUUUCUGGUACAAGCAGCUUCUUAAUGGAGAGAUGAUUUUCCUUAUUCGUCAAAUUUCUUCUUCUACUGCAGAAGAGAGGAGUGGCCGCUAUUCUGUUAUCUUCCAGAAAUCACUCAAGUCCAUCAGUUUUGUCAUUUCAGACCUACAGCCAGAGGAUUCAGGGAAGUAUUUCUGUGCUCUCUGGGAGUUGACACAGUGUUUGAAGUGA